ACUGUAGUGUAAGUAUAAUACGGAGCAAAAUGAAGUCCCCCACCCCUAUGGUGCCCACAGACCAGACCGGGGCUCGGCGGUCUUUGUCCGCAAAGGGCCAAAUAGUAAACAUUUUACGCUUUCAGGCUAUACAACCAUUCAACUCUGCUUUAUGACAGAAAGGAGCUCUUGACAGGACAAACAAAUGGGCAUGGCUGUGUUCUAAUAAAAUUUCCUGGACGCUGAAAUUUGAAUUUCAUAUAAUUUCCAUGUGUCACAAAAUAUUAUCCCUCUUUUGAUGAUCAACCAUUAAAAAACCUACAACCAUUCUUAGCUCCGGAAAUGGAAACAGGCAGUGGGCAGGACUCUCCGGGGCCGGAGGAGCUGCGGACCAGCCAGGCAAAGAAGAAAAUGCCACCCAGUGAGCGUCAGAGUGGGUCACUCAGCUGGGGAGGGUCCAGUUUCUUGGUAUCUAUGACAUCGGCCCUGGAAAAGGAGCUCUGGCUCAAAGCAAACUGGUUGUUAGGCAUCUACGGUUUCUGCCUGGUUCCCUUCUCUUCUCCCAUAUUCUGGAUUUUCUUUUGGGAAGGAUUCUCCCCCACCCUUGGUCCAUAUUCUUCAUGGGAAGUGAGAGCAGGACCCAGGCCUGACCAGUCAGCGUGCUCCAUCCCCUCAGCAGUGAAGAGGGCAAAGGGUGCCUGCUCCCCGGUAUUGCUGAGACAGAGAAGCUCCCUCUCCUUGGAGUUCUGGAGCUGCUACGGACCACCUUCCUGACCAUGGUCCCAGAGUGAAACUGACACAGAGAAACAGACUCAGGAGACGGUGACCAACCUUGGCCCAGUGACCACACUUAAGCCCUAGAUCUACAUGUCCGAUGCAGAGCUUUCUUUCCAGGACAGGAGCAAAAAACACCCUCUCCCCACUUUUGGGUCUAAGCUGGUUUUUUAAUUGGGGUUCUGACAUGUGCAACCAAAAGAGUUCUGAUCGACACAGUGGGAAUGAGAAGGUCUGCGUGGGAGAAGUCAAAGGUCUGGGUCAUACACACCAUCUCAUGGGGAGGGGCAGACACAAACAGCUUCCAAAUGGAGCUCAAGUUGGCACUCCCUGCCUCUUCCUUCAUCCUGUGCUGACCCUUCCAAGGAGGCUGGCCCUGAGAUCCCAAAAGGAAUGGCAGAAUGAUCAGACAUCAUGCUAAGUCAUUUUUGUAAAGUCAACUUAUUGAGGUAUAAUUUGCAAACAAUAAAACGUGCCCAUUUCAAGUGUAUAUUUCAUUAAUUUUCACAGAUAUAUCCCCUUGUGUAACCCCCACCACAAUCAAGACAGAGAACAUUUCCAUCACCCGGAAGGUGCCUUGUGGUCCUUCUUUGUCAGUCUCUGUGCCUCCCGGCACCACACAACCACUAAUUUGCUUUCUGUCACCAUGGGUUAGAUUUUUUCUUUAGAGUUUUAUAUACAGUCAAUCCUCAGUAUUCACAGAUUCCAUAUUUGUGAACUCGUUUCCUCACUAAAAUGUAUUCGUAAUCCCCAAAUCAAGACUCAUGGUGAUUUCAUGGUGAUUCAUGGACAUGUGCAGAGUGGUGAAAAAUUUAAUUCGCAGGACUCCUGGGUGGCUCAUUCAGUUAAGCAUCUACCGUCAGCUCAGGUCAUGAUCCCAGGGUCCUGGGAUUGAGCCCUGCAUCGGGCUCCUUUGCUCAGUAGGAAGCCUACUUCUCCCUCUGCCUCUGCUUGCCGCUCGCCCUGCCUGUGCUCUCUCUCUAUCUCUGACAAAUAAAUAAAUUUUUCUUUUUGAAGAUUUUAUUUAUUUAUUUGACAGAGAGAGAGACAGCCAGUGAGAGAGGGAACACAAGCAGGGGGAGUGGGAGAGGAAGAAGCAGGCUCCCAGCGGAGGAGCCUGAUGUGGGACUCGAUCCCAGAACGCUGGGAUCACGCCCUGAGCCGAAGGAAGACGCUUAACGACUGAGCCACCCAGGCGCCCCAUGACAAAUAAAUAAAUUAAAAAAAAAUUAAUUCACUUGACGCACAUGCUCCCCGCUGAGGUUAAAGUAGGUGACACUCUGCUUUCUUCUUUCAGCUGUCAUCCUGUAAACAAGUGUCCUUUGUGACAUUUAUGUAGUACCACGUUUUUUGCAUUUUUGUGCUCUUUGUUGGUGGUUUUGUUGUUUAAAACGGCCCCCAAGUGUAGUGCACAGUGCUGCCUAGUGUUCUGAGGUGCUGUGAUGUGCCUUGUGGAGAAACGACGUGUGUUAGACAAACUUUAUCCAUACCUGAGUUUUCGUGCUGUCGGCCGUGAGUUCAACAUUAAUGAAUCAAUAAUAUAUAUUAAAUGAAGUGUCUUUCUGGAUACAGAUCCACACAUACAACACAGUCACGUACUGAUUGGCGACAGAGGCUUGCGGGAACUGAACCCUGAAUGCCCCUAGGAGCCGUGGUUCCGUAUUCAGAAAUCUAGCAUCUGCGGCCACGUUACAGAACAUAACUACCACGGAUAACGAGAAUCGGCGGUGUAUGGAAUCCUACAGUUGCAGCCUUCUGAGUUUCACUCUGCCACCUGGCAUUGCGCUUCUGAGAUUCACCCACGUGUUGGGGUGUGUCAGUGGUUUGUUUCUUCCAGUGCUGAGUAGUAUUUCAUCACGUUGACACACCAGUGUCUUUAUUCAUUCGCCAAUGGAUGGAACAUUUGGAUGGUGUCUGGUCUCUGGCAAUUGUGAAUGAGGCGGCCACACACUUUCAUGUACAAGUCUUUGUGUGGAUAUAUGCUUUCAUCUGCGUUCCAAGUAUUUCCAUAUAAGCAAAUCAAUUUCAUGUUUGUUGAAUCCUUACAAGAGUCCCAAGGAGCAGACUCAUCUUAUACAUGGGGUGGGGGGGGGUAACUCAGAGUCACAGUGGCCUGCCGAGGGUCACAUGGCUCAUAGCCCCUGCCUGAGCCACACCGCCUCUUGCUUGGUGGAGGCCUGAGGGUCCCUUGUCAGGGUCGGCCCCAUGCUGCAGUGGGAAGGACUUAAGCUCUGUCACUGUCUUUUCACAGCCUUCAGUUCCCCAGCCGCAAAAUGUUCCGUUUCAGUUCCCUCCAAGGAGCCCUUGGCUUUUUGAGCCGCUGCUCUUAACCCCGCUGGAAGCCAGGGCCAAAGCAGCCCGUGGGAGGCUGAGCCAGACUGGAACCAGGAGCGACAGUCUGGCGGGCCUCACUUGUCAGCUCGUGGGCUUCAGCCGCUCCAAUCCACUCCCCUUGCAGGAGGUGAUGGUACUGACUUCGGUCUGUAGACUCCCCAUCAGGCGCGGUCAGCCAGCUGAGGGUCACAUGCCUGUCUCUGGCCUAGGGUUUUGAGGCCUGAUGCAAGGACUGAGAAGGAGCUGGAGCAGGGCUCCGGGCAGCCCUUGCUCCUGGCCCUUCCCGGGCCUCCAUGUUCCGCCUGCUGGUAAUUCAGCGAACUGCUAGACAAACUUCCAGUGCAUUCCGGGAACUGCCUAUUGCUUGCAGUGAGUGAACUCCGC
rnacentral:lncRNA from 1 species